GUCAGGAUGAACGCUAGCGGCAGGCUUAACACAUGCAAGUCGAGGGGCAGCGGGAUGUAGCAAUACAUUGCCGGCGACCGGCGGAUGGGUGCGUAACGCGUAUGCAACCUACCUUAUACAGGGGAAUAACCUUUCGAAGGGGAGACUAACACCCCAUGGUAUUGAUUUAAGGCAUCUUAGAUUAAUUAAAUAUUUAUAGGUAUAAGAUGGGGCAUGCGUAUGAUUAGCUAGUUGGUAAGGUAACGGCUUACCAAGGCGACGAUCAUUAGGGGUUCUGAGAGGAAGGUCCCCCACACUGGUACUGAGACACGGACCAGACUCCUACGGGAGGCAGCAGUGAGGAAUAUUGGUCAAUGGGCGCAAGCCUGAACCAGCCAUGCCGCGUGCAGGAAAGACGGCCUUAUGGGUUGUAAACUGCUUUUACAUAAGACUAACCGUAUAUUUGCGAAUAUACCUGAAUGUAUUAUGAGAAUAAGGAUCGGCUAACUCCGUGCCAGCAGCCGC
rnacentral:rRNA from 1 species